rnacentral:rRNA from 1 species
CAGUAGCCGCGGGAAUACGAAGGGUGCAAGCGUUAAUCGGAAUUACUGGGCGUAAAGCGUGCGCAGGCGGUUUGUUAAGACAGAUGUGAAAUCCCCGGGCUCAACCUGGGAACUGCAUUUGUGACUGGCAAGCUAGAGUGUGGCAGAGGGGGGUGGAAUUCCGCGUGUAGCAGUGAAAUGCGUAGAUAUGCGGAGGAACACCGAUGGCGAAGGCAGCCCCCUGGGCCAACACUGACGCUCAUGCACGAAAGCGUGGGGAGCAAACAGGAUUAGAGACCCCUGUAGUCCCUGUCUCUUAUAC